ensembl:lncRNA
UUUACAGCCUGCGUAAGGACAGCUGUGCCCCGGAGAAGGCCUGGUGAUGAAUCACUCACUGAAUAUAUCUUGUGCAGUUUCACAGCACUUUGGGAUCCUUUGUGGAAAACGAUGGCAAAAGUAUCUGCAGAGAUUUUUAUAGUCUGCUCAUAUAUGAAUCCUUAACUACCUAGGUCACUAGAGAAGAAGAACUACGUAUCCCAGAGGACCUCACGGUCAGAGAAGGAAGAUACAUCAUGGAAGAUACGUCAUCUGGUUGCGCACGGUCUUUCGCUUUUGCUUGCUGCCAGGGAGAGGAGUGGGUGUGCUUCCAAGCCGUGCGUCUUCAUCAAGUAAGGCUUCUGGUUUUGGAAACUCUCUCCCUCUCUCUCUCUUAUUUCAUUUGAUUUAUUACCCUUACUUUCAAUUAGACUGUAUUAUAUUGUGUCGUCUUG